AUUGAACGCUGGCGGCAGGCCUAACACAUGCAAGUCGAGCGGCAGCGGAAGGAAGCUUGCUUCCUUGCCGGCGAGCGGCGGACGGGUGAGUAAGGUAUGGGGAUCUGGCCGAAGGCGGGGGAUAACCACUGGAAGCGGUGGCUAAUACCGCAUAAUCUCUAAGGAGCAAAGUGGGGGACCGUUCAGGCCUCACACCUUCGGAUGAACCCAUAUGAGAUUAGCUAGUAGGUGGGGUAAUGGCUCACCUAGGCGACGAUCUCUAGCUGGUCUGAGAGGAUGAUCAGCCACACUGGGACUGAGACACGGCCCAGACUCCUACGGGAGGCAGCAGUGGGGAAUAUUGCACAAUGGGCGCAAGCCUGAUGCAGCCAUGCCGCGUGUAUGAAGAAGGCCUUCGGGUUGUAAAGUACUUUCAGUCGUGAGGAAGGUGUUAAGGUUAAUAACCUUAGCAAUUGACGUUAGCGACAGAAGAAGCACCGGCUAACUCCGUGCCAGCCGCCGCAGUAA
rnacentral:rRNA from 1 species